CCCCACACGCACUCAGACUAGACCCUCCGUACACACCCAGGCUAGACCCUCCAUACUCACCCAGGCUAGACCCUCCAUACACACCCAGGCUAGACCCUCCAUACACACCCAGGCUAGACCCUCCAUACUCACCCAGGCUAGACCCUCCAUACUCACCCAGGCUAGAUCCUCCAUACACACCCAGGCUAGACCCUCCGUACACACCCAGACUAGAGGCUUGGGGCUGAGAAAAGCAGUCAUGCCUCUUCAGGAAUUACCAGC
rnacentral:lncRNA from 1 species